rnacentral:lncRNA from 1 species
GUGGCUGGGCAGAGGGCAAGGAAAGGACAGCCAAGCCGAGAACGGAAGACGGUGCACUUGGUCUGGCCUGAAAAGCCAUGCAAGAAUAAAGGAAUCGGAGCACCCAGCACAGACGGUCACUGUGAGAGGGACAAGCUGAGGCCCUCCCAUCCCUGUCCGCUCCUACGGCCAUAUCGUGGCUGCCACGGCCAGCUGGACCUUGAGAUAUGCUCUCGCCGAUGCGAGGACACGGCAGGAGUAGGAAGAGACGCUAACACUGCUGAGAACCCAGCUGAAGCUGUCCCAGUGGCAGAGCUGGGGGACAGAGGCUUUAGAAAGACACAGAAGCCGGUUCGCAAGCUGACCGUGGUGUCUGGUCACGGCAGUGGGCAGUUCACGUGGCGCCCCAGUGGGAAGGGCAGCGCCAGAGCUUUGCGGAGAACGGAGUGGGACAGACAGAGUGGAGGUGGGGCAGAGGGUCAGCUGGGGCCGGCAGAAAGCCGCAGCAGGACAGGUGAAGGAGCAGGGCGUCACGGGGGGAGUGGUGCGGGAGGAGCAGGCAGGAGGCAGCGUGAGGCCUCCAAACUAAAACCGCAGCAUUCAGGUUUCACUGCAGCACUGGCGCUUGUGUUGGGAUAGAUAAUGGGUUUGGGACACCCAGUCUUUAACAGGUUCGCCUUCACGGCCUUAGCCUCAACCUCAAAAUCAAACAUCUCCAAAAGCCACACCUCUCUUCCUGGUGUAAGACGUACAAGUGGUGGCAAAACCAAGCCCAAACGGACACAGGAUUAUUCAUGUUUACUUCCCUGGUAAAUAUUCAUGUUCGAACACAUGCUCUUCCCCAGACGUCCAGGAGGGGUUAUAUCUUGAUGCUCACUCUAUUCUUUCCGAAAUCUGAACACCUCUGCAUUCUGACAUCUGGCAUAGCAAUUUGAGGUGAGGGAAUUUUGCAAGUUAUUAACGCGUCCAUUAAAAAUUAAACUCUAUAUUUACAAUUUAAUUAAUAAAGUUGAGAAACACUUAGCACUCGUCACUUCCUUAUUACUCCCCUGCAUUUUACUUGCACAUAUGGUCUUGCAUUGAUUUAUGUCUACUGAGUCUGUACAGCAGAAAUAUCACAGAAUAGUGCGUGGCGCUGUGCACCCACUUCCACACUCGGGAACAGGCACCGGCUCUGUACAGCCCACUACUGUAACAAGCACCUGAGAUGGCAGCUCGUGAAGAGAAAGGGUUUGCGCUGGCUGACGGUUUCAGGGGUUUCCGUCCCAGUCAGCUGGGCUCCCUGCUCCUGCCCUGUGUAGGCAGAGCAGAGCCGCUCCCCGCUCGGGGCUGGGAAGUGAAGGCAGCAUGGAAGGGCACCUUCCCGAUGACCUGAAGAUACUGCCCUCGGCCUCACUCCUAAAGCUUCCACCCUGGCCCACGGGCCCACGUUGGGGACCGAGCCUUCAUGUGGGCAGCGGGGACCCUCCACACCCAGAGGGCAGCAGCCAG